rnacentral:lncRNA from 1 species
UCUACAUCUGCCUGCCUGGCUGGAUCUGCCUGCCUAUCUACACUGCCUGCCUGGCUGGAUCUGCCUGCCUAUCUACACUGCCUGCCUGGCUGGAUCUGCCUGCCUAUCUACACUGCCUGCCUAGUUGGAUCUGCCGUCUGCAUCUAACAAAGGGUACGAGAGGGCUGGAGUUUGAAAAUGAGGGAGCACUGGGAAAGGAACGCCAGGAAGGUAACAGGAUCGCCUGCAUAACCCCCCGGAGGAGGUGCAGACUGAGACAGGGACACUGAGUGGACUCCCCUAUUGGUGUGCUGUGGUACUGCAGUGGGACCCCUGUGGAGCGCCUUGACAGUUCUGUGCAGUGUGCGUCUGGGUGUGUGUGAGCACCCGUUGAGUAGCCAACAACAACAACCUCUCUCACAGGAAGAACAAUGCCCCUGACAACAACAACCUCUCUCACAGGAAGAACAAUGCCCC